UACGAAGGGGGCUAGCGUUGCUCGGAAUGACUGGGCGUAAAGGGCGCGUAGGCGGCUCAUACAGUCAGAUGUGAAAUUCCUGGGCUUAACCUGGGGGCUGCAUUUGAUACGUGUGGGCUUGAGUGGGGAAGAGGGUCGUGGAAUUCCCAGUGUAGAGGUGAAAUUCGUAGAUAUUGGGAAGAACACCGGUGGCGAAGGCGGCGACCUGGUCCUUGACUGACGCUGAGGAGCGAAAGCGUGGGGAGCGAACAGG
rnacentral:rRNA from 1 species